rnacentral:lncRNA from 1 species
UACUGGAAUUUGAACUAGUUCAAAUGGUGAAUUUUUGACCAAACAUGACAUGCAUAUGAAUCUAAUGGUAUAAGUUUUUAGAUCUACUCCGAUUUUGAUAGCUAUAUUACACAAUUUUAAGUCAUCAAAUUUUAAGGCUAAACGUAUAUAUCAACCCUUUUCUCUUGCAUAUUGUUGCAACAAGUUUUCGGACUGAUAUCGGUCAUUCACCAACAUG